AGAGUUUGAUCCUGGCUCAGAUUGAACGCUGGCGGCAUGCCUUACACAUGCAAGUCGAACGGCAGCACGGGUGCUUGCACCUGGUGGCGAGUGGCGAACGGGUGAGUAAUAUAUCGGAACGUACCCUAGAGUGGGGGAUAACGUAGCGAAAGUUACGCUAAUACCGCAUACGAUCUACGGAUGAAAGUGGGGGAUCGCAAGACCUCAUGCUCAUGGAGCGGCCGAUAUCUGAUUAGCUAGUUGGUGGGGUAAAAGCCUACCAAGGCGACGAUCAGUAGCUGGUCUGAGAGGACGACCAGCCACACUGGAACUGAGACACGGUCCAGACUCCUACGGGAGGCAGCAGUGGGGAAUUUUGGACAAUGGGGGCAACCCUGAUCCAGCAAUGCCGCGUGAGUGAAGAAGGCCUUCGGGUCGUAAAGCUCUUUUGUCAGGGAAGAAACGGGAUUUUCUAAUACAAAGUCCUAAUGACGGUACCUGAAGAAUAAGCACCGGCUAACUACGUGCCAGCAGCCGCGGUAAUACGUAGGGUGCAAGCGUUAAUCGGAAUUACUGGGCGUAAAGCGUGCGCAGGCGGUUGUGCAAGACAGAUGUGAAAUCCCCGGGCUCAACCUGGGAAUUGCAUUUGUGACUGCACGGCUAGAGUGUGUCAGAGGGGGGUAGAAUUCCACGUGUAGCAGUGAAAUGCGUAGAGAUGUGGAGGAAUACCGAUGGCGAAGGCAGCCCCCUGGGAUAACACUGACGCUCAUGCACGAAAGCGUGGGGAGCAAACAGGAUUAGAUACCCUGGUAGUCCACGCCCUAAACGAUGUCUACUAGUUGUCGGGUCUUAAUUGACUUGGUAACGCAGCUAACGCGUGAAGUAGACCGCCUGGGGAGUACGGUCGCAAGAUUAAAACUCAAAGGAAUUGACGGGGACCCGCACAAGCGGUGGAUGAUGUGGAUUAAUUCGAUGCAACGCGAAAAACCUUACCUACCCUUGACAUGUACGGAACUUACCAGAGAUGGUUUGGUGCUCGAAAGAGAACCGUAACACAGGUGCUGCAUGGCUGUCGUCAGCUCGUGUCGUGAGAUGUUGGGUUAAGUCCCGCAACGAGCGCAACCCUUGUCAUUAGUUGCUACGAAAGGGCACUCUAAUGAGACUGCCGGUGACAAACCGGAGGAAGGUGGGGAUGACGUCAAGUCCUCAUGGCCCUUAUGGGUAGGGCUUCACACGUCAUACAAUGGUACAUACAGAGGGCCGCCAACCCGCGAGGGGGAGCUAAUCCCAGAAAGUGUAUCGUAGUCCGGAUUGUAGUCUGCAACUCGACUACAUGAAGUUGGAAUCGCUAGUAAUCGCGGAUCAGCAUGUCGCGGUGAAUACGUUCCCGGGUCUUGUACACACCGCCCGUCACACCAUGGGAGCGGGUUUCACCAGAAGUAGGUAGCCUAACCGCAAGGAGGGCGCUUACCACGGUGGGAUUCGUGACUGGGGUGAAGUCGUAACAAGGUA
rnacentral:rRNA from 1 species